rnacentral:rRNA from 1 species
UGGCGGCAGGCCUAACACAUGCAAGUCGAGCGGAUGACAGGAGCUUGCUCCUUGAUUCAGCGGCGGACGGGUGAGUAAUGCCUAGGAAUCUGCCUGGUAGUGGGGGACAACGUUUCGAAAGGAACGCUAAUACCGCAUACGUCCUACGGGAGAAAGCAGGGGACCUUCGGGCCUUGCGCUAUCAGAUGAGCCUAGGUCGGAUUAGCUAGUUGGUGAGGUAAUGGCUCACCAAGGCGACGAUCCGUAACUGGUCUGAGAGGAUGAUCAGUCACACUGGAACUGAGACACGGUCCAGACUCCUACGGGAGGCAGCAGUGGGGAAUAUUGGACAAUGGGCGAAAGCCUGAUCCAGCCAUGCCGCGUGUGUGAAGAAGGUCUUCGGAUUGUAAAGCACUUUAAGUUGGGAGGAAGGGCAGUAAGUUAAUACCUUGCUGUUUUGACGUUACCGACAGAAUAAGCACCGGCUAACUCUGUGCCAGCAGCCGCGGUAAUACAGAGGGUGCAAGCGUUAAUCGGAAUUACUGGGCGUAAAGCGCGCGUAGGUGGUUCGUUAAGUUGGAUGUGAAAGCCCCGGGCUCAACCUGGGAACUGCAUCCAAAACUGGC